rnacentral:rRNA from 1 species
UACGUAGGGGGCGAGCGUUGUCCGGAUUUAUUGGGCGUAAAGAGCUCGUAGGCGGUUCGAUAAGUCGGAUGUGAAAUCUCCACGCUCAACGUGGAGGGGCCAUUCGAUACUGUCGUGACUCGAGUCCGGUAGGGGAGUGUGGAAUUCCCGGUGUAGCGGUGAAAUGCGCAGAUAUCAGGAGGAACACCGGUGGCGAAGGCGGAUCUCUGGGCCUUACCUGACGCUCAGGUGCGAAGGCCAGGGGAGCAAACGGG